AUUGAACGCUGGCGGCAGGCCUAACACAUGCAAGUCGAACGAGUGGCGGACGGGUGAGUAAUGUCUGGGAAACUGCCCGAUGGAGGGGGAUAACUACUGGAAACGGUAGCUAAUACCGCAUACCAUCGGAUGUGCCCAGAUGGGAUUAGCUUGUAGGUGAGGUAACGGCUCACCUAGGCGACGAUCCCUAGCUGGUCGGAGAGGAUGACCAGCCACACUGGAAAUGAGAAACGGUCCAGACUCCUACGUGGGGCAAAAGUGGGGAAUAGUGAACAAUGGGGGCAAGCCUGAUGCAGACAUGCCUCGUGUAUGAAGAAGGCCGUCGGGUUGUAAAGUACUUUCAGCGGGGAGGCGUUACCCGCAGAAGAAGCACCGGCUAACUCCGUGCCAGCAGCCGCGGUAAUUC
rnacentral:rRNA from 1 species